rnacentral:rRNA from 1 species
GAUGAACGCUGGCGGCGUGCCUAACACAUGCAAGUCGAACGGAGUUCUUAAGGAAUGCGACUUCGGUCAAAUGACUUUUGAACUUAGUGGCGGACGGGUGAGUAACGCGUGAGCAACCUGCCUUUCAGAGGGGGAUAACAUUUGGAAACAGAUGCUAAUACCGCAUAAGAUUACAGUACCGCAUGAUACAGUGAUCAAAGGAGCAAUCCGCUGAAAGAUGGGCUCGCGUCCGAUUAGAUAGUUGGUGAGGUAACGGCUCACCAAGUCGACGAUCGGUAGCCGGACUGAGAGGUUGAACGGCCACAUUGGGACUGAGACACGGCCCAGACUCCUACGGGAGGCAGCAGUGGGGAAUAUUGCACAAUGGGCGAAAGCCUGAUGCAGCAACGCCGCGUGAGGGAAGACGGUUUUCGGAUUGUAAACCUCUGUUUUCGGUGACGAAUAAAUGACGGUAACCGAGUAGGAAGCCACGGCUAACUACGUGCCAGCAGCCGCGGUAAUACGUAGGUGGCAAGCGUUAUCCGGAAUUACUGGGUGUAAAGGGAGCGCAGGCGGGAUAGCAAGUCAGCUGUGAAAACUAUGGGCUCAACCCAUAAACUGCAGUUGAAACUGUUAUUCUUGAGUGGAGUAGAGGCAAGCGGAAUUCCGAGUGUAGCGGUGAAAUGCGUAGAUAUUCGGAGGAACACCAGUGGCGAAGGCGGCUUGCUGGGCUCUAACUGACGCUGAGGCUCGAAAGUGUGGGGAGCAAACAGGAUUAGAUACCCUGGUAGUCCACACUGUAAACGAUGAUAGCUAGGUGUGGGGGGUCUGACCC